GCGGGCGUAGCAAUACGUCAGCGGCAGACGGGUGAGUAACGCGUGGGAACAUACCUUUUGGUUCGGAACAACACAGGGAAACUUGUGCUAAUACCGGAUAAGCCCUUACGGGGAAAGAUUUAUCGCCGAAAGAUUGGCCCGCGUCUGAUUAGCUAGUUGGUGAGGUAACGGCUCACCAAGGCGACGAUCAGUAGCUGGUCUGAGAGGAUGAUCAGCCACAUUGGGACUGAGACACGGCCCAAACUCCUACGGGAGGCAGCAGUGGGGAAUAUUGGACAAUGGGCGAAAGCCUGAUCCAGCCAUGCCGCGUGAGUGAUGAAGGCCCUAGGG
rnacentral:rRNA from 1 species